CCUACGGGUGGCAGCAGUGGGGCAUUUUGCGCAAUGCUCGUAAGAGUGACGCAGCGACGCCGCGUGAAUGACGAAGGCCUUCGGGUCGUAAAGUUCUUUCGACAGGGAAGAAAAUGCCUAUAAGUAACUGUGUAUGUAUUGACGGUACCUGUAUACGCAGCCUCGGCUAAUUCCGUCCACGCAGCCGAGGUAAUACGGAGGGGGCGAGCGUUGUUCGGAGUGACUGGGCGUAAAGGGCACGUGGGCGGUGUUGUAAGUGAUUAGUCAAAGACUAUAGCUCAACUUUAGUCAGGCUAGUGAUACUAGAUGACUAGAGUAUCAGAGAGGAUUGCAGAAUUCCUGGUGUAGCGGUGAAAUGCGUAGAUAUCAGGAGGAAUACCGUUAGCGAAGGCGGCAAUCUGGCUGGAAACUGACGCUGAGGUGCGAAAGCGUGGGUAGCAAACAGGAUUAGAUACCCGUGUAGUC
rnacentral:rRNA from 1 species